rnacentral:snRNA from 1 species
CCUAUACCCGGCCGUCGGG